GAGAGUCGAAGCCGGCGAGCUGUGACACUCACCCUCUGCAGAUGGAGGCCCUCCAUGCUGACACUGCCUCCUGCCCUGUCUUUAGUUCUUGUCAGUGCUGACUCUGGGACUGGGAUCAUCCACUCCAGAACCCCCACAGGACCCCAGCAUCCUUCCAAGCCCUGAGGAGGUGCCAGGAACAGGGCCACUCCCUGAGGAUUUCCCAACAGUGCUGUCCUCUGGGUAGAGGGUGAGGUCACUGUGCUGGCCUGGAUGAGCAGAAGCCUGGUCAAGAGAAGUGGGCCUGGAGGUUGAUAAGGAGAGGCUCCCAGCAGGUGAGAAGGUGCUGAGUCUUGCCUAUGCUUUACCGUGCGCUGAGCUGCACCACCAACCCCAGGCGUGAAACUUUCCUCUUGGUUCCACCUUGAAGUCCAGCCUGAAUGGGAGGAAGUCAGAAAAGUAACAGAGCACCAGAGGUAAACAAUGAGCUGCAAUUCUGAAUGGAGGCUGCCGGCCAGCAGGCUUCGGAGCUGAGGCAGGGUCCCUGGUGGCUCCGCGUACUAGUUGUAAAACACAGUAACUACUGGUGCCUGACUAGCGAUUGUGUGGUGUGAGAGUAAGCUGUUGACCUUACCCAGAUCAGUCUCUUCCUGCCACCACUCGGCCUCAUUGCCUUCUCUCAGAACUGAGUAUCACCUCUGCCCAAUGCCUUGCCACUCUGGGCAGGGGGAUUUGAAGUAAGCAGAGAUGGGGUUGACUCCCUCUGGGUCCAGAGAAGAUGUGGCGGGUGCCUUAGUCCCUGUAUUAUUGUGUGGAGUAUGAACAGGCUCAUGCUCGGUUUCCAGACUGGAGCCUCUAAGAAGUAGGACCGGUUGGGAGUAGGUCAUUAGGACAGGCCAUUUCAGAGGGUUGGAAUCUCUGAGUUCUGGCCACUGUUGACUUAAAUUCUUAUUAGGAGUCUCCGUCACACACUUCCUCUGCUGUGAAGUCAACCAUGCCCUCUCCACCCAUGAUGGACUGAAACGCCUCUCAAACUAUGAGCCCAAAUGAGUCUUUGCUCCCUUAAUCUGUUUCUGCCCACUACUGGGGCACAGGGAUUAAAAAAAUCAAACAGUACAGGCCUGAGGAGAUGGCUGUGCCUGUAAAGCCCUUAUACAAUGGCUGGGUGCGGUAGCAUGUGCCAGUAUCACCAGCUCUGAGGAGGAAGAGAUAGGAGGCUCCUUGAGGUUUGUCAAGCUAGUUUACUUGGUGUCAGAGACAUUCUCUCAAAGCAAGCAAGCAAACAAGCAGCAACAAACAACAACAACAACAAACUCACAACAACUUGGUAAGAUGGCUCAGCAAAUAAAGGCCCUUGCUGUCACGCCUGAUGUCCCGAGUUCUAGUCCAGGGACCAGCACCCACACCAGUUAGCUUACAACAGCCUGUAACUCCCCCUUCAGGUGUCUGUCACUCUUCUGGCCUCUGCAGACACCCAUACACACUUGCUGAGACCACCAGAAGCUGUAACUGGACAAUGGCUACGAGAAGACUUGCAGCACGUCUCAAGCUUUUGUGUGCACACUAGUCACCAGAAGAUCUUAUUAAAAUGCGGGUUCUGAGUCGACAUAGCGGUCUGGGCUGCCGCUGCCACCACUGUGGAUCACACCUUCUCAAGACAUGUGGCAGUAGCUUGGGUGAAGUCUCUCUUAGCUGGCUAUCUAUCUCACCACCUCCUCUCUCUCUUCUCAGCUCAGGAGAAGGUCUGGGAUUUCCAGAAUGAAAUGUGGGCCAAUGAAACCCAAGUGGAGCCAAGUAGCAAUUGAGGCUGCAGGACACAAAGCCCAACAACCUUCCAGAGCUGUCCUGUUCCCGCAUGCGCCCGUUUGUCUGGUUCCAGGAGCUAACAAAGAUGGCCCCACUGCAUGCAUUCAGAACCUCUCCUGGAGGAAAAUGAGCUGUUCUCAGGGCCGGAAACUCUGGGUUUCUUUUGGUUAGCAACUUGUCUUCAUUCCUGUACCAGGCUCACUAUGCACAGUCCAACAUCUGCUUUACACAGCCCUCCACCUCCGUCUCUUGGUCUCUGUCUCUCUAUCUCUCUGUUCUUCCCUCCCUCUCACCCUUCCUCCUUCCUUCCCUCCUUCCCUCCCUUCCAGACACAUACAGCAGCCAUGAAAUUCAACUGAAGUUAAAGGUAGCUGGAUUGAGCAGAGAUGCUCCUCCUCUCCUGUGACCCACCUCUGUGGGAGUGUGUAGUGACCUCUCUUCCUCCAAGAAACCUCUCUGCACAGAAUUCUAGCUCCAGUGUUACUCCCCCCAACCCCCGCAUGUCACUUUUGAUGCUCAAUCGCCAUGCCCAUAUUUGACUGAAGGACUAAAGCAAGAUUUCUCCAAAUGUGGUUCCCAGGGCUGGGAAGAUGGCUUGGUGAGUAAAGUGCUUGGUCUGCAAGCUUAAGAACUGGAGUUUGGAUCUGCCUUAAGCUUCCCUUUGAAAUCCAGAUAGAAGGAGUGAGUACAUGAGCCAGCACCCCAGAAAAAGCCAGGGGUGGCAUGUACUGGGGAUAAGGAGAGACAGGAGGGGCCCUGGGGCUGCUUUCUAGUCUUAUGCUCAGUCAGUGAGCUCAGGCUAAGUGAGAGACCCUGCUUCCAGGUGGAGAGUGACAGAGGGAGACACUGGAUCUUUAUCUCUGGCCUUCACAUGCACACUUGUUCACACAUGGCCACACAUAUGGGCUUAUACCACACACACACACACACACACACACACACACACACACACACACUCGUCCAUUCAUCACAACAUCACCAUUACUCUUCGAAGGAGGGAGCUGUUAGAUACACAGACUCCUGAGCUCUGCCCAGACUCUUGGAGAUUUCACCAGCGUCCUUGGGAACAGUGGAAAGUCUGCAUGGCUGAUGACUCGGGAACUGAGUGUAGACAGCUUAUAUCUUUUCCUCCUGGUCUUCUAUCCAGGUUGUGCUCUCUUUGUGUCCACCCUAUUGUGUCAGUGUUUCUGAGCAUACGCUGCCUUAAGCGUCCCUUCGGGAUCUAGGCAGGAGGAGGAGUGAAUACAGGAGCUUCUCAUGUGGUUAGGUGUUGAAGGGACACACCCUGCACCCUGGAUACUCUUGUCAUCUCACCCACUCUCAAGCAUACCUCAAUAUACAAUUGUCCAGAGAAUCUAUCUGUAGAGCCUCGGCUGAGCCAGUGGGGCUCCAGACCCGCAUCCAAGAAGCAUCCUAUACCAUCAGUCAUGCCCAGUUGAGAGCCAGGCCUUCACAUUUGGUCCCAGAGAAGUGUUCAUUGCAUCUGACUCCCUGUAAAUAAUAUGGGUUUUCUCUAGACAUCCCAUCAUUGGAAACUUUGAGUCUCUUUGGGUUACUCUUUUCCUAGACCCAGAAUCAUUCCAAAGUGUGAAUGGAGGCUAAGGACUUAUCUCAGCUGGUACAAUGUUUAUUUCCUAUGCAGGAGGCCCUGGGUUCAAUUCCUAGCACCACAUAAACUUGGUGUGGUAGUGUUUUCUAUAACCCCAGAACUUGGGAGGUGGAGACAGCAGGAUAAGAAGUUCAAUGUUAUUAGCAGCUACAUAGUGAGUAGGAGGCCAGCCUGGAAUAUAUGAUAAUACUGACUUAAACCUAACCUAACCAAACUGAACCAAACCUAACCAAACCUAAACAAGCCAAACCUAAAGUAAGCUAGGUAAAGUAUGAGUGGAUCGCAUAUUCUGGGUUACUGGGGCACUGCUUACUGGGCACCUACCUUUGUGGGACCUUUAAGGGACCUUUAAAGGACCUUUAAGGGGCAGGGCUUAGGGAAUGUGUCUGGGGCUCUGCCCUUGGCAGAAAUUAGUUUUUUUCUCCUGGGAGAUCUGACUGGGAACACACCUGGUUCUACCCCUCUUGUUGGUUCCUCCCUUCUUGCUGGCUCCUCCCCUCCUGCCAGCCUCCUUUUUACUGCAAGUCUUGUCCUCUUGCACAGGCUCCCACAUUGUAAUGCUGUCAUCCUAGAAGACUUCACCAGAGCUGAGCUGAUACCUACACGAACUUCCAGAACUGUGAGCUAAAAAUACACCUCUUCACCAAGUUACCUGUGGUGGUUUGAAUGUCAUUGGCUCCUAUAGGCCCAUAGGGAAUGGCAUCAUUAGAAGGUGUGGCCUUGUUGAAGUAUGUCAUUGUGGUGAUGGGCUUUGGAUCUUAUAUGCUCAAGCUGCACUCAAUGUUGAAAGACAUUUUCCUGCUGCCUCUGGGUCAAGAUGUAGAACUCUCAGCUCCUUCUCUAGCACCUGCACAGUGCCAUGCUUCCCACCGUGAUGAUAAUGGACUAACUUCUUUUUUUUUAAUUAGGUAUUUUCCUCGUUUACAUUUCCAAUGCUAUCCCAAAAGUCCCCCUUACCCACCCCCACAAGCCCCUACCCACCCACUCCCCCUUUUUGGCCCUGGCGUUCCCCUGUACUGGGGCAUAUAAAGUUUGCAAGGAUAAUGGACUAACUUCUAAAACUGUAAGCCAGCCUCAAUUAAAUGCUUUCCUAUGU